UUGACCGCCGCCCCAGCCUGUGCUGGUUUUGGGUGGAGUUUGGCUACGGGACGCGAGAAAAGUGCAUCAAUGAUCGGGCAAUCAAUGGCUCACCGAGGUCAAUGUACACUGCCUUAAAUCACAAUAAUUGUGUGUCCAGUUGAUCCGCCUGUUUAUAUACAUAUAGAAUAUUUUUAAAUUAUUUACAUGGUAAAAAUUAUAUAAUUAGGAGGCUCUUAACCUAUGUAUUAAAUAAUUUAAAAAUAUAAAAUUAAAUAUUAUUUAAACUGUUUAUUUUUGAACUUCUUGAUAUUUUCAAACCAGCACAAAUACAUGUAGACAUGCAUAUAUAUAUAUAUAUAUAUAUAUAUA
rnacentral:lncRNA from 1 species